rnacentral:rRNA from 1 species
UAAUACGAAGGGGGCUAGCGUUGUUCGGAAUCACUGGGCGUAAAGCGCGCGUAGGCGGGUCGUUAAGUCAGGGGUGAAAUCCCGAGGCUCAACCUCGGAACUGCCUUUGAUACUGGCGACCUGGAGUCCGGGAGAGGUGAGUGGAACUCCUAGUGUAGAGGUGAAAUUCGUAGAUAUUAGGAAGAACACCAGUGGCGAAGGCGGCUCACUGGCCCGGUACUGACGCUGAUGCGCGAAAGCGUGGGGAGCAAACAGGAUUAGAUACCCUGGUAGUCCACGCCGUAAACGAUGAGUGCUAGCCGUCAGCAAGCUUGCUUGUUGGUGGCGCAGCUAACGCAUUAAGCACUCCGCCUGGGGAGUACGGUCGCAAGAUUA